UACAGAGGGUGCUAGCGUUAAUCGGAAUUACUGGGCGUAAAGGGUGUGUAGGUGGUUUAGGCAAGUCAGGUGUAAAAACCCCGGGCUUAACCUGGGAAUGUCGCUUGAGACUGCUUAGCUAGAGUACUAUAGAGGAUAGUGGAAUUUCCAGUGUAGCGGUGAAAUGCGUAGAUAUUGGAAGGAACACCAGUGGCGAAGGCGACUAUCUGGAUAGAAACUGACACUGAAACACGAAAGCAUGGGUAGCAAACAGGAUUAGAAACCCAGUAGU
rnacentral:rRNA from 1 species